CUUGUCCUGGUUUUUCAGGGUUGUCGACUUUUGUGCUUGCCUAAAAUAUUAUUCCAUAAAUUAAAUGUGUAUAAGCUAACCAAAUUAAUAAUUAAAUGGAGUAAUAUUAACCAAAUAAGUGCAUACCAUUGUUUAAAUAUCUUCCUGGCCGAGAUAAUCAAUUUCUUUUUCUCAAAACUGAUCAGCGCUGAACCAGAUCUCGCACACGUUGCAUGUGCCAAACAGAAAA